AAAUGAAUAGACGGGGACUCGCACAAGCGGUGGAGCAUGCGGUUUAAUUCGAUGCAACGCGAAGAACCUUACCAGGUCUUGACAUCCCGUUGACAGGUCUAGAGAUAGAUUUUUUCUUCGGAACAACGGAGACAGGUGGUGCAUGGUUGUCGUCAGCUCGUGUCGUGAGAUGUUGGGUUAAGUCCCGCAACGAGCGCAACCCUUAUCAUUAGUUGCUAACAUUAAGUUGAGCACUCUAAUGAGACCGCCGGCGAUAAGCCGGAUGAAGGUGGGGAUGACGUCAAAUCAUCAUGCCCCUUAUGACCUGGGCUACACGCGUGCUACAAUGGCUAAUACAAAGAGUUUGCAAAACUGUGAAGUCAAGCUAAUCUCAUAAAGUUAGUCUCAGUUCGGAUUGUAGUCUGCAACUCGACUACAUGAAGUUGGAAUCGCUAGUAAUCGCAAAUCAGAAUGUUGCGGUGAAUACGUUCUCGAGUCUUGUACACACCGCCCGU
rnacentral:rRNA from 1 species